rnacentral:rRNA from 1 species
ACGAACGCUGGCGGCGUGCCUAAUACAUGCAAGUAGAACGCACAGUUUAUACCGUAGCUUGCUACACCAUAGACUGUGAGUUGCGAACGGGUGAGUAACGCGUAGGUAACCUGCCUGGUAGCGGGGGAUAACUAUUGGAAACGAUAGCUAAUACCGCAUAAUAUUAAUUAUUGCAUGAUAAUUAAUUGAAAGGUGCAAUUGCACCACUACCAGAUGGACCUGCGUUGUAUUAGCUAGUAGGUGAGGUAACGGCUCACCUAGGCGACGAUACAUAGCCGACCUGAGAGGGUGAUCGGCCACACUGGGACUGAGACACGGCCCAGACUCCUACGGGAGGCAGCAGUAGGGAAUCUUCGGCAAUGGACGAAAGUCUGACCGAGCAACGCCGCGUGAGUGAAGAAGGUUUUCGGAUCGUAAAGCUCUGUUGUAAAAGAAGAACGGGUGUGAGAGUGGAAAGUUCACACUGUGACGGUAUCUUACCAGAAAGGGACGGCUAACUACGUG